UUGACCUCGGAUCAGGUAGGAAGACCCGCUGAACUUAAGCAUAUCAAUAAGCGGAGGAAAAGAAACCAACAGGGAUUGCCCUAGUAACGGCGAGUGAAGCGGCAACAGCUCAAAUUUGAAAUCUGGCUUCGGCCCGAGUUGUAAUUUGCAGAGGAAGCUUUGGGCGCGGCACCGACUGAGUCCCCUGGAACGGGGCGCCAUAGAGGGUGAGAGCCCCGUAUAGUCGGACGCUAAGCCUGUGUAAAGCUCCUUCGACGAGUCGAGUAGUUUGGGAAUGCUGCUCAAAAUGGGAGGUAAAUUUCUUCUAAAGCUAAAUACCGGCCAGAGACCGAUAGCGCACAAGUAGAGUGAUCGAAAGAUGAAAAGCACUUUGAAAAGAGGGUUAAAUAGCACGUGAAAUUGUUGAAAGGGAAGCGCUUGUGACCAGACUUGCGCCUGGCUGAUCAUCCGGUGUUCUCACCGGUGCACUCUGCCAGGCUCAGGCCAGCAUCGGUUCUCGCGGGGGGAUAAAGGCCCUGGGAACGUAGCUCCUCCGGGAGUGUUAUAGCCCAGGGUGCAAUGCCCUCGCGGGGACCGAGGUUCGCGCAUCUGC
rnacentral:rRNA from 1 species